AUGGAUCCGGUGGCCGCGGCGGCGCACGGCGGGGGGCACCACUUCGGGCCGCCGGUGGGGACGUUCCACCCGUUCCACGGCCACUUCCCGGGGCAGCAGCGGCCGUUGCAGCAGCAGCACCCGGCGUUCCAGCAUUUCCAGGACCACCACCACCAGCUGCUCGGCGGGAUGCUGGCCAAGCAGGAGCUCGUGGACGAGAGCAACACCACCAUCAACAGCGGCGGCAGCAACAACGGCAACAGCGGCGGCGAGGGCGAGCAGCACAUGGGCGGCGGCGGCGGAGGAGGAGGAGGAGGAUCCGCGCAGCAGCAGCAGCAGCACGCGGGCGGCGGAGGGGGCGAGGAGGGGCAACAGCAGCAGCAGCAGGCGCUGGCGGUGAUGCGGCGGCCCAGGGGCCGGCCCGCGGGGUCCAAGAACAAGCCCAAGCCGCCCGUCAUCAUCACGCGGGACAGCGCCAGCGCGCUGCGGGCGCACGUCCUCGAGGUCGCCGCCGGAUGCGACGUCGUCGACUGCGUCGCCGCCUUCGCGCGCCGCCGCCAGGUCGGCGUCUGCGUGCUCAGCGGCACGGGCGCCGUCGCCAACGUCUCCGUCCGCCAGCCCGGCGGCGCCGUCGCCACGCUCGCCGGCUGCUUCGACAUCCUCUCGCUCUCCGGCUCCUUCCUGCCCCCGCCGGCGCCUCCGUCCGCCACGGGGCUCACCGUGUACGUCUCCGGCGGCCAGGGCCAGGUCGUGGGCGGCACGGUCGCCGGCGCGCUCGUGGCCUCCGGGCCCGUGGUCAUCAUGGCCGCCUCCUUCGGCAACGCCUCCUACGAGCGCCUCCCCCUCGACGACGAAGAGCCAUCCGCAGCGCAGGGCCUCGCGCAGGCGCACUCCUCCCCACCGCCGCUCCCAUUGCCGACACACCAGCUCCAGCAGCAGCACCAGCCGUCCUCCUCCCUGGCGCAGGCGCCCGACCACCACAUCCCCCACAACCUGAUGAACGGCCUCCAGCAGCUCCCCGGCGACCCCUACGGCUGGACCACCCCGGGCGGCAGCGGCGGCCGCGUCUCGCCCUACUGA
rnacentral:rRNA from 1 species